rnacentral:lncRNA from 12 species
UUGAACAGCAUCAGUCCAGUUGUUAAUAAACAAAUACACACAAAAUGAUCUUAUUUGCACUAAAAGAAUAUCUCCAUGUUGUUCACGGCCUGAAUCUGACCCAAAUGCUGAAUUCUUCUGUGCUUUCACUUCUCUUUAUCUUUAGGUUGCCUAAAUGGAAGACUACAGAGAGGAAAUCUCUGCUCUUGCUAUCUGUUCUAGACUUCUUAGGAGAAUGGACAGACACUCAAGUGUUAGCUUGUCCAGCAGUAUUCACCUGGGAUCCCCUCAGGAAGUGAUAUGUCAUCUGGAUGAAGAAAUGUCCUCUUGUUUUUUCUGAGCUUCCAUUUUUCUCACUUAGUCUAGUCCUGGAUAUCAAAUAUCCAUCUGAGUUCUGCAAGAAUAAAAAGCUCCACUGCUCAUGAAGAAGUUCUUCCUAACUCUUCCAAUCUGAGUGAUUCUAUUCUAUCAGGAAGAAAUCCUGUAUAUUUUUAGAAGAUUUUUGAAGGAAGCAGGUUUAUUUCAAAAGAAGAAUUGUUUUCCACAGAGAGGAAAAUCAUAAUACUGCUUGAGAUAUUGCUCUGCAUAAGAAAAGCUGGCGAGAUCUGCCUAUUGAAUCUUGAACUAUGAAACCUCAGAAUGGUACUGUUGGUUUCAUAUUUCCAAAAUACUGAUAGUGUCAAAAGAAAAACCCCAGUAUUGGGGUGGUUUUUCUUUUUUCCCUGCAAUACUUAAUCCUUAUUUUGCUCAAGCAG